GGCGAACGGGUGAGUAACACGUUAGGUAAUCUACCUUUGAGACGGGGAAAACUCAGGGAAACUUGAGUUAAUACCCGAUAAGCCCACGUCCUGGGAAGGAUGCGGGAAAAGGGAGCAAUUCGCUUGAAGAUGAGCCUGCGGCCUAUCAGCUAGUUGGUGGGGUAACAGCCUACCAAGGCGAAGACGGGUAGCCGGCCUGAGAGGGUGAACGGCCACACUGGGACUGAGACACGGCCCAGACUCCUACGGGAGGCAGCAGUGAGGAAUUUUCCGCAAUGGGCGCAAGCCUGACGGAGCGACGCCGCGUGAAGGAUGAAGGCUUUCGGGUCGUAAACUUCUUUUGUGGGGGACAAGUUGAUGAUGGUACUCCACGAAUAAGC
rnacentral:rRNA from 1 species